rnacentral:rRNA from 1 species
GAUGAACGCUAGCGGCAGGCCUAACACAUGCAAGUCGAGGGGUAACUAGAGUGAUAGCAAUAUUACUUUGGCUAGACCGGCGCACGGGUGCGUAACACGUAUGCAACCUACCUUAUACUGGGGAAUAACUUCGAGAAAUCGGCGCUAAUACCCCAUAACAUUGCGAAGAGGCAUCUCUUUGCAAUUAAAGCUCCGGCGGUAUAAGAUGGGCAUGCGUCCAAUUAGCUAGUUGGUGAGGUAACGGCUCACCAAGGCUACGAUUGGUAGGGGUACUGAGAGGAUGAUCCCCCACACUGGUACUGAGACACGGACCAGACUCCUACGGGAGGCAGCAGUGAGGAAUAUUGCGCAAUGGACGAAAGUCUGACGCAGCCAUGCCGCGUGCAGGAUGACGGCCCUAUGGGUUGUAAACUGCUUUUGUACGGGAAUAAACCCUUCUACGUGUAGGAGGCUGAAGGUACCGUAAGAAUAAGCACCGGCUAACUCCGUGCCAGCCGCCGCCGUAA